GCCUUUGUGGUAUAGUGGCCAGCACGCUCGGCGCGUAUUCGAGGGGUCCGUGGUUCAAAUCUUGGCGAAGGCA
rnacentral:tRNA from 1 species